rnacentral:misc_RNA from 1 species
AACGCACCUUGCGCUCCUUGGUAUUCCGAGGAGCAUGCCUGUUUGAGUGUCAUGAAAUUCUCAACCUUUCUGUCUUUUACAAGACGAGUCUGGCUUGGAUUGUGGGGGUUUGCAGGCUUAUUUCAGCUUGCUCCCCUUAAAAGCAUUAGCAUCAGUCGUUGCUUGAUUCAUCUUUGAUAUGAUAAUUAUCUAUAUCAUUGAGAAUCAGCUUGAGACUGAGCUUCUAACCCCUGUCGUUCCUUGCUCAUGAGGAACUGCUUUGAAAAUUUUGACCUCAAAUCAGGUAGGACUACCCGCUGAACUUAA